rnacentral:lncRNA from 1 species
AAAUCUGCUUGGAUUGAACCAUCCACUGGGAAUACUAUUUACCUCAGCAUUAAGGAGUCCAGGCUCUAUAUGAAGGCUGGAGAUAAGAUAGGAGAUGGCUCAAUAGAAGAUGAUUAUUCUGCUCUCCACCAACUUUCCUCUGAUGUAGAAGGAGAUGGAAGGCCUGAGAAUAAAAAAGCUCUACAAUGGUAGGAAGUGGAAGGAGUAAAAAGAAAAAAAAUAGACUGGUAGUAGAAGGGAGGAGCUCUCUUGCACUGACACAGAUGGAAGUCAGACCACUCAUCCCUAACACCCUCCCCUCAAGGGAAGUGCAAAGCAGAAGAUGGAAGGCACUGAAGUCAGAGGAAGGCCCGUAUCCUCUCCUUACUUGAGGCUGGACAUCAGGCAGAUGCAGUGAGAGGCAGAGGUCAUGUUGCAAAGGGAAGUAAAAAUUGGGUAGAUGGAAAUUGGUCCAGGUGCUUCUGCCUUCCCUCAAGGGACACAGACAACAGGAGAUGGAUGGAAAGUGUGACUCUGUCAGGAAGAAGUGACUCCACUUCUCACCUUUCUCAUCUUUUAUCACCUCAACAAAUUAGAGUGUAUAAAUAUAAUAGAAUCUUAUUGAACUGUAAGAAAUGAUGAAAUCUAGGAAGACUGAUAUGAACUGAUGCAGAAUGAAGUGAGCAGAACUUGGAGAACAAUCUAUACAAUAACAACACCAUAGUAAAGACAAACUUUGAAAGCAUUAAGAACUUGGAAGCAUACAAAGACCAGUUGAUGCAAUGCAAUCUGGUCCAGAUUGGUGAUGAAGCACUGACCCAGAGGGGAUCAAUUCAAGGUACACAAUGAGAUUAUCUGUUUCAGACAUCAUCCACAAGGCAGACAUGCAAAUUCUGGGUUGGUCCCAAUCAAGUGGACAGCAUUUAUUUGGAGUGCUUAAAGACAAAUUUGGGAAAGAAACCAUGUGCACCGAAAAUGAUGGCUGUAUACUUGCCUUAUGCUACAGUACUAUCAUGUUUCUCCAGCAGUUUGCCUGCAUAUUGAAUGACGAAAUAAGUAAUGGGGCAUUAGGGACUCUUGAAACAUAUCUAGCUGCGUCCCUCAGCACUUUUCCUUCCAUUCCCUUUACCACUCAAGGCACUUAGGCACUCAGUUAGCUCUUCUCCAUAUGUCUUUUUAGUUUGUGCUCUUAUGCUGGCUU